rnacentral:misc_RNA from 1 species
GAUGAAGAACGUAGCGAAAUGCGAUAAGUAAUGUGAAUUGCAGAAUUCAGUGAAUCAUCGAAUCUUUGAACGCACAUUGCGCCCUUUGGUAUUCCGAAGGGCAUGCCUGUUCGAGCGUCAUUUCAAACCUCAAGCUUCUGCUUGGUAUUGGGCUCCGUCCGCUCAGGACGCGCCUGAAACUCGUAGGCGGUGGUGUCCAUCUCACAGCGUAGUCAAUUCUACCCGCUUCGGAGUUAUGGGCUCUGCUCGCCAGACAACCCCCAAUUUUUCUAUGGUUUGACCUCGGAUCAGGUAGGGAUACCCGCUGAACUUAAGCAUAUCAAUAAGCGGAGGA